rnacentral:rRNA from 1 species
AGUGAACGCUGGCGGUAGGCCUAACACAUGCAAGUCGAACGGCAGCACAGUAAGAGCUUGCUCUUACGGGUGGCGAGUGGCGGACGGGUGAGGAAUACAUCGGAAUCUACUUUUUCGUGGGGGAUAACGUAGGGAAACUUACGCUAAUACCGCAUACGACCUACGGGUGAAAGCCGGGGAUCUUCGGACCUUGCGCGAUUGAAUGAGCCGAUGUCGGAUUAGCUCGUUGGCGGGGCAAAGGCCCACCAAGGCGACGAUCCGUAGCUGGUCUGAGAGGAUGUUCAGCCACACUGGAACUGAGAAACGGUACAGACUCCUACGGGGAGCAGCAGUGGGGAAUAUUGGACAAUGGGCGAAAGCCUGAUACAGCCAUACCGCGUGGGUGAAGAAGGCCUUCGGGUUGUAAAGCCCUUUUGUUGGGAAAGAAAAGCAGCAGGUUAAUACCCCGCUGUUCUGACGGUACCCAAAGAAUAAGCACCGGCUAACUUCGUG